GUUUGUGAAAUGUCGUCCAUGUCUCAUGUACUUGAAACAAGGUUGAAAAGGUCAUUUUAUACGAAAAUGUCAUUUGUUGUUGUUUUCUCUUUUGUGGCCAAGGAUGAAUUGCAAUAUAUAAGAAAGUUUUAGAGUUUAGAGAUUAAAGUGUUGACAUGAGAAGUUUUGGGGUUAACUUAAUAUAUCGGAAUUAGUUACGUGGU
rnacentral:lncRNA from 1 species